rnacentral:rRNA from 1 species
GAUGAACGCUGGCGGCGUGCUUAACACAUGCAAGUCGAACGAAGCACUUUAUUUGAUUUCUUCGGAAUGAAGAUUUUGUGACUGAGUGGCGGACGGGUGAGUAACGCGUGGGUAACCUGCCUCAUACAGGGGGAUAACAGUUGGAAACGACUGCUGAUACCGCAUAAGCGCACAGGGUCGCAUGACCUGGUGUGAAAAACUCCGGUGGUAUGAGAUGGACCCGCGUCUGAUUAGCCAGUUGGUGGGGUAACGGCCUACCAAAGCGACGAUCAGUAGCCGACCUGAGAGGGUGACCGGCCACAUUGGGACUGAGACACGGCCCAAACUCCUACGGGAGGCAGCAGUGGGGAAUAUUGCACAAUGGGGGAAACCCUGAUGCAGCGACGCCGCGUGAGCGAAGAAGUAUUUCGGUAUGUAAAGCUCUAUCAGCAGGGAAGAAGAAAUGACGGUACCUGACUAAGAAGCACCGGC